rnacentral:rRNA from 1 species
CUACGGGCCGCAGCAGUGAGGAAUAUUGCACAAUGGGGGGAACCCUGAUGCAGCAACGCCGCGUGGAGGAUGACGCAUUUCGGUGUGUAAACUCCUUUUAUAUGUCAAGAAAAUGACGGUAGCAUAUGAAUAAGCACCGGCUAACUCCGUGCCAGCAGCCGCGGUAAUACGGAGGGUGCAAGCGUUACUCGGAAUCACUGGGCGUAAGGACGCGUAGGCGGGUUGGAAAGUCAGGUGUGAAAUCCUACAGCUUAACUGUAGAACUGCACUUGAAACUUCUAAUCUAGAGUAUGGGAGGGGGAGAUGGAAUUAGUGGUGUAGGGGUAAAAUCCGUAGAUAUCACUAGGAAUACCUAAAGCGAAGGCGAUCUCCCGGAACAUUACUGACGCUAAGGCGUGAAAGCGUGGGGAGCAAACAGGAUUAGAUACCCCUGUAGUC